rnacentral:rRNA from 1 species
UGGGGAAUCUUCCGCAAUGGACGAAAGUCUGACGGAGCGACGCCGCGUGAGUGAUGAAGGCCCUUGGGUCGUAAAGCUCUGUCAUCGGGGACGAACGGUCACAUCAGGAAAUGGGUGUGAAUUGACGGUACCCGAGAAGGAAGCCACGGCUAACUACGUGCCAGCAGCCGCGGUAAUACGUAGGUGGCGAGCGUUGUCCGGAAUUAUUGGGCGUAAAGCGCGCGCAGGUGGGAUCUUAAGUCUGUUCGGAAAGUUCGGAGCUUAACUCCGGGAUGGGAUGGAAACUGGGAUUCUGGAGUAUCGGAGAGGAAAGCGGAAUUCCCCGUGUAGCGGUGAAAUGCGUAGAUAUGGGGAGGAACACCAGUGGCGAAGGCGGCUUUCUGGACGAUGUCUGACACUGAGGCGCGAAAGCCAGGGGAGCGAACG